rnacentral:rRNA from 1 species
GAUGAACGUUGGCGGCGUGCUUAACACAUGCAAGUCGAACGAACUCAAUUCUUCGGAUGAGAGUUAGUGGCAAACGGGUGAGUAACACGUAGGUGACCUGCCCCGAAGCGGGGGAUAACGACUGGAAACGGUCGCUAAUACCGCAUGUGCUCGGCAAUUCGAUUUGUCGAGUAAAACUUUGGUGCUUCGGGAGGGACCUGCGGCCGAUUAGCUAGUUGGUGUGGUAAUGGCUCACCAAGGCAAUGAUCGGUAGGGGGCGUGAGAGCGUGGCCCCCCACACUGGGACUGAGACACGGCCCAGACUCCUACGGGAGGCAGCAGUGAGGAAUAUUGCACAAUGGGCGAAAGCCUGAUGCAGCAACGCCGCGUGGGGGAUGAAGACCUUCGGGUUGUAAACUCCUUUCUGAGGGACGAGAAAGGACGGUACCUCAGGAAUAAGUCUCGGCUAACUACGUG